rnacentral:rRNA from 1 species
GCAUAUCAAUAAGCGAGGAAAAGAAACCAACAGGGAUUGCCUCAGUAACGGCGAGUGAAGCGGCAAGAGCUCAAAUUUGAAAUCUGGCUCCUCCGGGGUCCGAGUUGUAAUUUGCAGAGGAUGCUUCGGGAGUAGCCGCGGUCUAAGUCCCCUGGAACGGGGCGUCGCAGAGGGUGAGAAUCCCGUCUUCGGCCGGCCGGCUGCGCCCGUGUGAAGCUCCUUCGACGAGUCGAGUUGUUUGGGAAUGCAGCUCUAAAUGGGUGGUAAAUUUCAUCUAAAGCUAAAUACAGGUCGGAGACCGAUAGCGCACAAGUAGAGUGAUCGAAAGAUGAAAAGCACUUUGAAAAGAGAGUUAAACAGCAUGUGAAAUUGUUGAAAGGGAAGCGUUUGCGACCAGAGUCGGCCGCCGGGGUUCAGCGGGCUCUCGGGCCCGUGCAUUUCCCGGUGGUCGGGCCAGCGUCGGUUUGGGCGGUCGGUCAAAGGCUCCUGGAAUGUAGCGCCCUCCGGGGCGUCUUAUAGCCAGGGGUGCAAUGCGGCCCGCCCGGACCGAGGAACGCGCUUCGGCACGGACGCUGGCUUAAUGGUCGUAAGUGACCCGUCUUGAAACACGGACCAAGGAGUCUAACAUCCACGCGAGUGUUCGGGUGUCAAACCCGUCCGCGCAGUGAAAGCGAACGGAGGUGAGAGCCUCUCGCAAGAGGGGUGCAUCAUCGACCGAUCCUGAAGUCUUCGGAUGGAUUUGAGUAAGAGCGUGGCUGUGGGGACCCGAAAGAUGGUGAACUAUGCCUGAAUAGGGUGAAGCCAGAGGAAACUCUGGUGGAGGCUCGCAGCGGUUCUGACGUGCAAAUCGAUCGUCAAAUUUGGGUAUAGGGGCGAAAGACUAAUCGAACCAUCUGGUAGCUGGUUCCUGCG